GCUUACGGCCACACCGGCCUGAGUACGCCUGAUCUCGUCAGAUCUCGGAAGCUAAGCAGGGUCGGGCCUGGUUAGUACUUGGAUGGGAGACCGCCUGGGAAUACCAGGUGCUGUAAGCU
rnacentral:rRNA from 1 species